rnacentral:rRNA from 1 species
UACGGGGGGGGCAAGCGUUGUUCGGAAUUACUGGGCGUAAAGGGCGCGUAGGCGGUUUGCUAAGUUGGAUGUGAAAACUCUGGGCUUAACCCAGAGCCUGCAUCCAAAACUGGCAAACUUGAGUACUGGAGGGGAAAGCGGAAUUCCUGGUGUAGCGGUGAAAUGUGUAGAUAUCAGGAGGAACACCGGUGGCGAAGGCGGCUUUCUGGACAGUAACUGACGCUGAGGCGCGAAAGCUAGGGGAGCAAACAGG